AGUUCGGAUUGUAGUCUGCAACUCGACUACAUGAAGCUGGAAUCGCUAGUAAUCGCGGAUCAGAAUGCCGCGGUGAAUACGUUCCCGGGUCUUGUACACACCGCCCGUCACACCAUGGGAGUCAGUAACGCCCGAAGCCGGUGACCCAACCUAUUCUGGAGGGAGCCGUCGAAGGCGGGACGGAUGACUGGGGUGAAGUCGUAACAAGGUACC
rnacentral:rRNA from 1 species